rnacentral:rRNA from 1 species
UACGUAGGGUGCGAGCGUUAAUCGGAAUUACUGGGCGUAAAAGGCGCGCAGGCGGUCGUGACAAGUCACUUGUGAAAUCUCCGGGCUUAACUCGGAACGGUCAAGUGAUACUGUCGGACUAGAGUACAGAAGGGGCAACUGGAAUUCUCGGUGUAGCGGUGAAAUGCGUAGAUAUCGAGAGGAACACCUGCGGCGAAGGCGGGUUGCUGGGCUGAUACUGACGCUGAGGCGCGAAAGCCAGGGGAGCGAACGGG